GAUGAACGCUAGCGGGAGGCUUAACACAUGCAAGGUCGAGGGGCAGCACGAUGUAGCAAUACGUUGGUGGCGACCGGCGCACGGGUGAGUAACACGUAUGUAACCUACCCUGUACAGGGGGAUAACCCGGAGAAAUUCGGACUAAUACUCCAUGGAGAUAUACUGGGGCAUCCUGGUAUAUUUAAAGCUUCGGUGGUACGGGAUGGGCAUGCGGAACAUUAGCUAGUUGGCAGGGUAACGGCCUACCAAGGCUACGAUGUUUAGGGGACCUGAGAGGAUGGCCAGCCACACUGGGACUGAGACACGGCCCAGACUCCUACGGGAGGCAGCAGUGGGGAAUAUUGGACAAUGGGGGAAACCCUGAUCCAGCGAUGCCGCGUGAGUGAAGAAGGCCUUCGGGUUGUAAAGCUCUUUCACCUGAGACGAUAAUGACGGUAUCAGGAGAAGAAGCACCGGCUAACUCUGUGCCAGCAGCCGCGGAACCUGUAGUCGU
rnacentral:rRNA from 1 species